UGGGCAAAAGGCAGCGCCUUUGGAAUGACGAAAUUACCCUCAGUUUUAUUCUGUAUCUAAAUCCCAUUGGCCGGCUGCUGUCGAAGAUUCAGCCCCCUUCCGCCGUGCGGUGAAGCGGAUCACGAUACAAACAUUUAUAGGCAAAGGGUUUCAAGGAGCCGAACGCGGGGAAAAUUAGACCUUCCGGAAGGAAAUAAUGGGGCGACAGAAAGGAGAGGGAGCCAGGAGCAAGUCACGCCCUUCAAGCAGCAGUCUCGCUGCCUCGCUUCUCCCCUCGGGGACAGCCGCUGUCGGAUUUGGAGGCUAUGUCGGUAGUUCUCGGCUCGAUUCAUCUCUCGCAUCCGAAGAGUUUUCGGACAUUGACAGUGAAAUGGCACAACACUUGAAGAGGCUUGCAAGGAAGGAUCCCACCACCAAGCUUAAAGCUUUGACAUGUUUAUCUAUGCUGCUCAAGCAGAAAUCUGGAAAGGAAAUAGUACUGAUCAUUCCACAAUGGGCAUUUGAAUACAAGAAGCUUUUGAUGGACUACAAUAGAGAGGUUCGACGAGCUACUCAUGACACAAUGACUAAUCUUGUCCUCGCUGUCGGAAGAGAUUUAGCAUUGCACCUGAAAUCUUUGAUGGGACCAUGGUGGUUUUCUCAGUUUGAUCAAAUUCCUGAGGUUGCUCAAGGUGCAAAGCAUUCAUUGCAGGCUGCCUUCCCAGCUCCAGAAAAGAGACUAGAUGCCUUAAUCUUAUGCACAACUGAGAUAUUUAUGUAUUUGGAUGAAAAUCUAAAGCUCACACCACAGAGCAUGUCUGAUAAAGUAACUGCUUUGGAUGAAUUGGAAGAGAUGCACCAGCAGGUGAUUUCUUCAUCAUUGUUGGCAUUAGCUACACUAAUUGAUAUUUUGGUGGGCUCGCAAUUAGAAAAGCCUGGUUUUGAAAGCAUCACUGCUGAACCAAAACAUGCUUCAAAGGCUAGGGCAACUGCAAUUUCCUUUGCUGAAAAGUUAUUCUCCAGUCACAGAUAUUUUCUAGACUUUGUCAAGUCUCAGAGCCCUGCUAUUCGGUCAGCUACAUAUUCAAUGCUGAGGAGUUGUAUUAAAAACAUUCCUCAUGCUUUUAAUGAAGAGAAUAUGAAAACUCUUGCUUCCACAAUACUUGGUUCUUUUCAGGAAAAGGACCCAUCUUGUCAUUCAUCAAUGUGGGAUGCAAUGCUACUAUUUUCUAAGAGAUUUCCUGACAGUUGGAGAUCUGUGAAUGUGCAGAAAAUCUUACUAAAUCGGUUUUGGCAUUUUCUUAGGAAUGGGUGUUUUGGAUCACAACAGAUUUCUUAUCCAAGUUUGGUCCUCUUUUUAGACUCUCUGCCUCCUAAAGAAAUAGAGGGUGAGAAAUUUUUUCUCGAAUUUUUCCAGAAUUUAUGGGUAGGAAGGAACCCAUCAAAUCCUUCAAAUGCAGAUCGAGUAGCGUUUUUCCAGGCAUUUAAAGAAUGCUUCCUUUGGGGGUUACAUAAUGCAUCAAGAUAUUGUAAUGGAGUGGAUGCCAUUCAUCAUUUUCGAGUCACUCUAAUUGACAGUGUCCUUGUAAAGCUUUUUUGGCAUGAGUACAUGUCAUUUUCCAGCUCAAAAAAUCAGGAUGUAGUGCGCUGGGGGAAUUCCAAGGAUCCUUCUGAGAGCAGCACUCAACUGGUUCACAAAAGGGCAAUGGAAAAACAGAAUAUUAAAUAUCCAAAAAGUUAUGCACAAGAUCUGGGGAAGUGCAUUAUUGAAAUCCUUUCAGGCAUUUAUUUGCUGGAUCACGAUCUACUCUCUGCCUUCUGUUCAACAUUUCAGGAGAACUGCCUGGAGAUAGUGAAGCAAACUGAGAAUAGAGAAAAAAGUGAGAAUGUAGAACAGAUUGUCAAAUUUUUAUUAUUGGUGGAGCAAUAUGCAGUUCUAAAAGAUGAAACUUGGCCCUUGAUUCAUUUAGUGGGACCAAUGUUAUCAAAGUCUUUCCCAUUGAUUAGAUCACUUGCCUCACCAGAUGCUGUGAGACUUUUCUCAGUUGCAGUUUCUGUAUUUGGACCACGCAAGAUAAUCCAAGAACUUAUAUGCAAUAAGGCACUUUCUUUUGGCCAUCUCUCUCAUGAUGGGGGAGAAAAAUUGGGCCAAGAGGAUUUUUUGCAAGUAUUCAAGGAAUUAUUUACUCCUUGGUGUUUGCUUGGACAUGAUUCCUCUAUCAGUGCUCAACUAGAUCUCUUGCUUGCAUUAUUUGAAGAUGAAUCUUUUGCUGAGCAGUGGUGUAUGGUUAUCACAUAUGCAACAAAGCUAGAAUGUUGUGGAGCUAAGCCUGGGUCUCUAGAUUCUAACCAAAUAGCAGUUUUGGCAAUUCUCAUGGAAAAAGCAAGAGAGAAACUUAAGAAGCGAAAGGUGGGAGUGGAUUUCAAUCAUCACCAAGGCUGCCAGCCAGACCACUGGCAUCACGAGCUUCUUGAUUUAGCUGCAGUAUCUGUUGCCUGUUCUCUUCCUCCCUAUGGAACUUCUGAUUCUCGGUUUAUCCGGGCUGUCCUUGGUGGCUCAGUUGAAGAUGAUCAGGCUUCUUUUCUAUCCAGAGAUGCAAUGAUCCUGAUUUUUGAGGAUGUCCUCAAAAAGUUACUGACUUUUAUAAUGACCUCCUCUUUUAUAUGGGUUAAGGAUGCGGGUUCUUUAUUGGCUCCUACGGCAGUAGAUUCCAUGACAGAACUGGAAUCUUCUGUUAACAUGCUGGAGGCAACUCAGUUUGCUCUUGAAAUACUUGAUGGUAGCUUCUUUUGCUUACAGACAUUUUGUGAGGGAAGUGAGGUAGUUCCAUGUCUUUCAGCUGCAUUAUUUAUUAUUGGUUGGGAGUGUAAUAUGGCAAGAGCAUUGGAUAAUGCAUUUGAUGAUCAAUCAAUGGAAAUAACAAAGGCAAGGAUGAAUUUUGGUGAAGCUUUACUUUCUUUGCGUGGUAAGAUAAACAAGACAUUCUGGCAAAGUCUCAGCAUACCCAAUCAGAAAAAGUUGGGAAGUAUUUUGAUUCUGACUAUUAGGUCUGCCAUUUUCAAGGAAGAUAAAGUAAAUGCUAAUGAGAUCACAUCUUUGUGCUUUCUGUGGAUGGCUGAAGUUCUUGAAUGUCUCUGUCAGGACCAAUAUCAAGAGCAGAAUUUCUUGGACCUGUUUCUAGCUAAUAGUGAUGUGUGGCCUUUGUGGAUCAUGCCAGAUUCUGGCUGUGCAAAAAGAUCAGCCUCCUUGAAAAUUAAAGAAAUUUCUAUUAAGACUAAUACAUCUGGGAGUCACAAGUUUGUUGCUAUAAUUGAGAAGCUGAUCUCUGCCCUUGGCAUUGAUAGAGUUGUUGCUGGUUAUGUUUCAAAUACUCCAAAUUCAACCGAGGAAGCAUCAAAAGAACUGGCUACCUCUCAUUUUUAUUCUCGAGCCUGGCUUGCUGCUGAAAUAUUAUGCACAUGGAAAUGGCAAGGAGGCAGUGCUUUAGGUUCUUUCUUACCUUUACUAUGCUCAUAUGCAAAGAGUGGAAAUUGUUCUCUAAAGGAAGGCUUGCUGGAUUCCAUUGUCAACAUUUUACUUGAUGGUGCUCUUGUUUAUGGUGCAAGUGGUGAAUUGAGAUUUUUCAAUGUUUGGUCCGCAUCAGAUGAUGAGGUGGAAAGCAUUGAGGAGCCCUUCUUGAGAGCUCUAGUAUCAUUCCUUAUUACUCUGUUCACAGAAAAUAUAUGGGGAAAGGACCAAGCUGUGAUACUUUUUGGGCUGUUAGCAAAUAAACUUUUUAUUGGUGAAUCAGUGAACGCAGAAUGUUUGAGGAUUUUUCCUCUAAUUUUAAGUGUUCUCAUUCGACCAUUAUACACCAUAGAGUCUGAUGAAUUGCAUAGAGAUGCUGUACCCACUUCUUUUGAGGAAAAUCAGAUAUGUGAUACUAUCAAGGAUUGGGUCCAAAGAACUCUAUCAUUUCCACCCUUAACUGCAUGGGAAACAGGACAAGAUAUGGAAGAAUGGCUUCAGUUGGUUCUAUCUUGUUAUCCUUUACGUGCACUGGGAGGAUCAAAAGCAUUGAAUCUUGAGAGAGACAUCGACCCUGUAGAGAGAUCUCUUCUACUUGAUUUAUUUCGAAAGCAAAGACAUGCUGGUAAAUCAGCUGCAGCCAGCCAGCUGCCAAUGGUGCAGAUAUUGCUAUCGAAGUUAAUGGCAGUUUCAGUUGGGUAUUGCUGGAAAGAAUUCAAUGAAGAAGAUUGGGAGUUUGUCUUGUUUCACUUGAGACGGUGGAUUGAAUCGGCAGUUGUAAUGAUGGAGGAAGUAGCUGAAAAUGUAAAUGAUGUCAUCAUUAAUAGACCUAGUUCUGAUGACAAGGAAGUUAUUCUUAAGGAGCUUGAGCAUGCUGUUUUGCUUUUGGACUCUCCUCGUAUAAAUAUUGCUAGGAAUGCCCUUUUUGCAUUUUCUCUUUUCUCUGGGCUUACUGAACUCCAAAAUGCAGAAGAUGCAGAUAAUUCAAACCCCUUGAGGAGAGAAAGAUGGGAUCUUGUAAAAGACCGAAUUGUAGAAGGUAUUCUUCGCCUAUUCUUUUCCACUGGUGUCACUGAGGCCAUUGCUAGUUCUUAUACUGAGGCUUCAUCUGUUAUAGCAUCAACCCGGCUUGAUCAUCCUCACUUUUGGGAGUUAAUUGCUUUGAGCAUUGUUAACUCCUCACUACAUGCUAGAGAUAGAGCAGUGAGAUCAAUUGAGCUUUGGGGGCUAAGCAAAGGACCAAUUAGCUCCUUGUAUGCCAUCCUCUUUUCUUCCAAACCAGUUCCUUCCUUGCAGUUUGCUGCUUAUUUUAUUCUUGCAACUGAACCUGUUUCAAACUCUGCCAUCAUUAGCAAGGGCACAAGAUAUUUGGUUGGAAAUACUACUGAUACUUGUGAUAUUGAUUCAUCAUCUGAAGAAGGUAUCCAAUUGAGGGAGGACAUAUCUUGCAUCAUUGAAAGGUUACCAUAUGAGAUUCUGGAAGUGGACUUGGUUGCACAACAGCGGGUAUAUGUAUUCCUUGCUUGGUCUCUGUUGCUAUCACAUCUGUUGUCUUCACCACCAUCAUCACCUACCAGGGAGAGACUGAUUCAACAUAUACAAGAGUCUGCUAAUUCAACAAUAUUAGAUUGCAUUUUCCAACAUAUACCUUUGGAACUAAGCUCGGCAUAUAGCUUGAAGAAGAAAGAUAUAGAGAUUCCUGCUGAGUUAUCAGAGGCUGCCACUGCCGCAACCCGAGCCAUCUCAACAGGCUCAUUGUUGUUUUAUGUGGAAUCACUUUGGCCAGUUGGACCUGUGAAAAUGGCUUCACUUGCAGGUGCACUAUUCGGUUUGAUGCUUCGUGUUCUUCCUGCAUAUGUACGACAGUGGUUUAGUGAUUUACGUGACCGUUCUGCAUCAUCUCUAAUUGAGUAUUUUACAAAAGCAUGGUGCAGCCCUCCGCUAAUUGCAGAUGAGCUAUCUCAGAUCAAGAAAGCUAGUUUUGCUGAUGAGAAUUUUUCAGUGAGUGUAAGUAAAUCAGCCAAUGAGGUUGUUGCUACCUAUACAAAGGAUGAGACAGGAAUGGAUUUAGUUAUUCGUCUUCCCCCAUCUUACCCAUUGCGGUCCGUGGAUGUUGAUUGCACAAGGAGCCUUGGCAUUAGUGAAGUGAAGCAGAGGAAAUGGUUAAUGUCUAUGACGUCAUUUGUCCGUAAUCAGAAUGGAGCACUGGCUGAAGCUAUACGGAUAUGGAAGAACAAUUUUGACAAGGAAUUUGAAGGUGUUGAGGAGUGCCCCAUCUGUUACAGUGUGAUCCAUACUGUGAAUCAUAGCCUUCCACGCCUUGCUUGCAAGACCUGCAAACACAAGUUCCAUUCAGCCUGCCUGUACAAGUGGUUCUCCACUUCUCACAAAUCAACUUGCCCAUUGUGCCAGUCUCCAUUCUGAUCUAAACUGUUCAAACAAUGAUGCUUCAAUAGGUUAUAACAUUUCUUUUGUGGGAAAGAAUACAGGUCGAUUCAGUUAAAUGAGCCACGGUAUAAAUUUAUAGCACAAAAUUUGGUCGGAUUUAAACCUUCCUCGGGUGUACAUGAAUGCUGUUGAAUGAUCAGCCAUAUGAAAACAGGCACACUGAAUCAGCCCUUUGAUGAUAUCUACUGGUAUUUGUGACAUUAAUUUUAAGUAAUGAGUUGAUGAAGUAGGAGUUUGUGAAGAAGAGAUACCUGCACCUACAAUUUUUGCAUACAGAGCAUGUCCGGACAACGUUGAUGAAGCCUCAUGAAUGAAGGGCCAUUAGUGAGUUGGAAAUGCAGAGUUGAGGGAUGUUGUCUUUGAUUUUGAAUAUAUUAUUGUUUAAUGUUCAGGAUUAGCAUAUGGGCAAUAUGUACAGAAAUGAAAUUUCCAUAGAAUGUUAGUUGGAAGAAACGAGGGUACCUAAAAAUAACAAUAAAUAAUGGAACUGAGAAGAAACGAUUUAUGGGGUUUA